rnacentral:rRNA from 1 species
UACAGAGGAGGCAAGCGUUGUUCGGAAUCACUGGGCUUAAAGCGCGUGUAGGCGGCCCGUCAAGUACCUUGUGAAAGCCCUCGGCUCAACCGAGGAAUUGCGCCCAAAACUGCCGCACUAGAGGAAGACAGAGGUACGCGGAACUUAGGGUGGAGCGGUGAAAUGCGCUGAUAUCCUAAGGAACACCGGAGGCGAAGGCGGCUCACUGGGGCUUAUCUGACGCUGAGGAACGAAAGCCAGGGGAGCGAACGGG